AGACGGAGAGAUAGAGAGUGACGAACAGACAAGUAAACAGGCAGAGAGAUAGAGAGUGACGAACAGACAAGUAAACAGGCAGAGAGAUAGAGAGUGACGAACAGACAAGUAAACAGGCAGAGAGAUAAAGAGUGACGAACAGACAAGUAAACAGGCAGAUACAGACAGACAGACAGACAGACAGACAGACAGACAGACAGACAGACAGACAGACAGACAGACAGACAGACAGACAGAAAAUCCUUACAUGACUUCCAUGCCAAAGAGAGCCAAAGGCUUUAAACUGUACUGUGGUCACAUUGGAUUUAACUGUAGCAGCAAGGACAGGCCAGCCCAGGACAGGCCAGCCCAGGACAGGCCAGCCCAGGACAGGACACACCAGUGUUGUUGAGAUGGUAAUCACUGCAUUUCCCUGAGGUGUGUUGUUGCCUUGGAGACACCAAGAUGUGAGGCAGGGGGAUAGAACAGACAGUUCUCAGAGAGAGGUAAGGAAAGGCACCCAGGGCUCAGCAUACGCAGGUCAACACAAGGCAUUACCAUUUAGUGACAACGUUAUCGAUGACACUUUACUUGACCCCUCUGUUAUAAAGCCUAAUGACGUAACACAUUCGGGACGACAGUUCAUGUCACCAGUUUUUGUCAUUACGGGUGUUGCCAUAAGCUAACAUUAACUGUCUGCUACAUGUAUUUGGCAUUAUGGAGGCGUCAUGGAGGCCAUAUUAUGAAUUCACUUAAGACAAUAACUCCUUAUGAAUGUCAGUAGGAACAUUGCGUCAUGUAAAAACAACCAUCAUGGAAUGCCUGUUUGGGGAGGAGAAGAAGAGUUGUGUUUCUGUGGACAUCUCAUGUACUUGGAAAUCAUGGUUGGGGUCAAUUCCAUUUCAAUUCAGGAAGUGAAAUUCUAAAUGUCUUCCAGGCUAUUCAAUUUUGAAUUUUUGGAGUUGACUGGAAUUUAAAUGGAAUUGACAUCCAACCCUGUUGGAAAUAAACCUGUUGGUUCUUGACUUAUUCUCUUCAUAACAUUUCCAUGGGAAUGUGGUGUCAGAAUUUGGGAUGAGCCUCCAAAUGGAAAUGUUCUGUGUUGAGCUGUGAUGUUAUGCCUUUCAUAGACUCCUGGUCUGUUUACACCCUAAGACAAGGCCAUUGUGUUUCGGGAACUGUUGAUAUAUUGAAAGAACUGUUGUGUGAACAAUAUGAUUGUAUUAUUACCGUCUCACUAUAUAAGGGACAUUGAACCAUUUCCUCAUUGAGUUCUUCCCUGUGAAAUCAGAGAUAGAUGUCCCCUGCUGCUGCUUGUAUUAAAGAUUUUUCUAUUAUACAAUUUUAUAGUCUCUGCAUUAAUCUUUGGAUUGAAUUUUCCUCAACAGUAACACGAGUCCUGCUCCAGUUUCAAUUAGUACACUAUUUGCUUUUCCCUGUCAGAUUCAAUGUCUUUGUCUCACACGUUGAGCUUCUACCUCUCAGCCCAGAUAGCCUCUACCUUUCAGCCCAGAUAGCCUCUACCUCUCAGCCCAGAUAGGCUC